ensembl:lncRNA
UGAGGUGCCAAUGCUUCUGUGUUUCUUUCAGUGUGUCUGAUGUUACCACAAAUGCCCAGCAGUAAGGAUGAAGUGCUGGUUGCAUUAGCCCGUGGUAGAGCUCCUCUGUACUUUGUCUCUGUAGAACUACAGUGAAUACUGCUUUAAAGACCACAGUGAAUCCAAACUAUGUCUCUGUCAUGCAUGUUGCUCAGGCACAAAAGUAUGGAGUCACCUGCUUGGAGCAACUUGCCAUUCUUGGGCUAAAAGGCAAAGAUUUACCACUCUGCCUUUGGCUGGUCCUCUGAGGGUCAGUAGAUCCAUACUACUAUUUCAUUUCAAUAGUGCUGUGACAUUAAUAGCCUUCAUUUUUUUUCUGCUUCUUACGAUGCCUCUGAGCCAAUGUGCCUGCUGGUUGCCUGGCUUAGGACUAGUGAGAAGCUUCAGUCCACUCCUAUUCCUGUUCUCAAAAGCACUGAAAAACUCCUCCAGCUCAGUAGCAGAAUCACUCCUCCUCCCCCUGCUCCCUGCCAUGAAAAAGGAAAAAGAAAAAAAAAAGUAAAGAGAAGAGAAGAAAGACAAAAAUUCUAAGUUCAUCUAAACCUAUCAACAUGUGCAGAACGCAUGUCUGUGCCUAUUAAUCACUGCUGGGGAAACACAAAGCCACAGUGCCAUUACGGAAAAGACAACAGAUCAUUCCAAAGCCAUAUGGCCACCACCAUUGAUCCUGACAUCCAGGAAUCAGUGAAUGAUCUUGACUGGUAAGAAUGUAGAACCAGAGCCAAUAUUAUAACUUCACUGCUUCUACAGACUGUGGGGAAACACGUUUUGAGAGUAAUGCAAAGCUGCAACAAAGAGCACAUGGAUAUGCUAUCAGUAUUUGCUAUCAAAGGAUCUCAUCAUAUGGCAUAAUGUGCUUUAAGAGUGAUUACAGUAACUUAAAAAAAAUUGUAUUAGCUCAUUUGUUCCUUAAUAAAUCUGUUUUUUAAGUGAACCCUGAAUGAGUUGGAACAUUAAGUUAUAUGGACAGUCUUCCAAAUCCUUGUACGAGUACACGAUCCCAUUUAUUUAGGUAGGAAUAUUCACACAUAUAUAUGUAUACUAGCACUUAUUAAAUAAAAUAAUUAUCACAUUUUCAAGACUGCUUAUAGUAAAGGCCUUGAAUAUCACAACUGGGUGCAUGACUCAAUAUCUACACUUGGGGCCCUUUAUUGCUGCAGAAACCAGAUUGGGAAUUUCCAGCUAGCAUAACAGCCUCUAAAUGUCUUCAUUUUCAUAUACUGUCUCAGAAAGUAGGUGGUCUCUGACAUGGUCUUUAAGUGCAGUGGGCCAG